UACGGAGGGAGCUAGCGUUGUUCGGAAUUACUGGGCGUAAAGCGCACGUAGGCGGCUUUGUAAGUUAGAGGUGAAAGCCCGGAGCUCAACUCCGGAACUGCCUUUAAGACUGCAUCGCUUGAAUCCAGGAGAGGUGAGUGGAAUUCCGAGUGUAGAGGUGAAAUUCGUAGAUAUUCGGAAGAACACCAGUGGCGAAGGCGGCUCACUGGAGCUGGUAUUGACGCUGAGGUGGCGAAAGCGUGGGGAGCAAACAGG
rnacentral:rRNA from 1 species